CCUGAAGUCACAAGAUUUUCUGCUAAAGCUGCACUUGAAAUCUUUAGUCCUAAUAAAAUUUGGAGUCGGUGAGGUGAAAUUCUCAGUGGAGAGAGAGACCUGGUUAUUUUGCUGAUCAUGCAGGUGCUGUUGCUGUGUUGACUUUCCUGCAAAAUCCUGCUGAGUACAACAAGAAUAAAGUUACAAGACCCUGGCUGAAACCCAUGGUUGUGAAAUCAGAAUACAGGACAUAAUGGAGCCAAAGUCAUG
rnacentral:lncRNA from 1 species